UACAGAGGUCCCAAGCGUUGUUCGGAUUCACUGGGCGUAAAGGGUGCGUAGGCGGUCGGGUAAGUCUGAUGUGAAAUCUCACAGCUUAACUGUGAAACUGCAUUGGAUACUAUUCGGCUAGAGAGUUGGAGGGGGGACUGGAAUUCUUGGUGUAGCAGUGAAAUGCGUAGAUAUCAAGAGGAACACCAGUGGCGAAGGCGGCUCACUGGCCCGAUACUGACGCUGAGGCACGAAAGCGUGGGGAGCAAACAGG
rnacentral:rRNA from 1 species